GAAAUGCGAUAAGUAGUGUGAAUUGCAGAAUUCAGUGAAUCAUCGAAUCUUUGAACGCACAUUGCGCCCCUUGGUAUUCCAUGGGGCAUGCCUGUUCGAGCGUCAUUUGUACCCUCAAGCUCUGCUUGGUGUUGGGUGUUUGUCCCCGUCUCCGCGCGUGGACUCGCCCCAAAGUGAUUGGCAGCCGGCGUACUGGUCCCGGAGCGCCGCACAUGUCGCGCAAACGAGUGCCUUGGUACGGCGGCGUCCAUAAGCCCCUCUCUCACGCUCUUGACCUCGGAUCAGGUAGGGAUACCCGCUGAACUUAAGC
rnacentral:misc_RNA from 1 species